AGUUUUAUGAAACUUUAUAAAAUGAAACCUGCCCAAUGAAUUUUUAAUGGCCGCAGUACUUUAACUGUGCUAAGGUAGCAUAAUAAUUUGGCUUUUAAUUAAAGUCUGGUAUGAAAGGAUUAAUGGGUAAAAGCUGUCUUAUUUAACUUUAAAAAAAUUACUUAAAAGGUGAAAAUUCCUUUAGUAAAUUAAUAGACGAGAAGACCCUAGGAGUUUUUGUUUUGUUGGGGCAACAUCUUAGUUAAAUAACCUAUUUAAUAAUUUAAACGAUUAUAUUAAUUAUAAUUAAACUACCCUAGGGAUAACAGCAUAAUUUUUUAAAAGAUUGUGACCUCGAUGUUGG
rnacentral:rRNA from 1 species